CUUAGCUGCCUCUCCUCCCGUGGCCUUCGGCCAGCCGCCGCCGCCGCCGCCGCGCGACCUCUGCUCCUCCCCGGCGUCGAACUCAGGCCGCCGCUCCGUCCCCUGUCCCCGUCGCACCUCCCCUCAAGCCGCCGGCUGGCCCUCUCCCACUCGUCCUCCUCCCUGCUCCCAUUCCUCCCUUGUGUGGGAACCCUAGCCGCUGCCCACUCCCACUCGUCCUCCUCCCCGCUCCCCUUCCUGGCGGCGCACCUGACCGCCGCGCGACCUCUGCUCCUCCCCGGUGUCGGACUCAGGUCGCCGCUCCGUCCCCCGUCCCCGUCGCACCUCCCCUUGAGCCGCCGGCUGGCGCUCUCCCUUCACCGGAGGAGUUGGGUGAGGCCGUGAGGAGCGGAGGCAGUGGCUUGUUGCAGACGCUGCUGCGGCUCCCUUUUCUUCCUCGCCAUCUUCUUCGCCUCCCUCCUCUGCACCCAAGUAAUGCGGCCAGCCCUCGUCAACCCCGGCUAGCGGAUUCAUUAGCCUUCUACUCCAAUCGCUACCCCGAGAUCCAUCGUUGUUGUGUUGUUGCUGGUGAGAGCUGGGAGGAAGAGAGGGAGGCAAAGGGAUGGAGAUAGACAGGGGAAGGAGAAAGGGUCUUUCUCUGUUGAUCUCCUUUUUGUGGCGUGGUAUGGCAGGAAAUUUAUCCAUCCACCCGUGGUGAGAACUUGCUGUCGCUGGUGCUAAACUGGUGUUGCUGCAGCAGACAAAUGCCAUGGAUCAAGUGCCAUUCAGAUGUUGCAGGAGUCAAGUGUGUGUAAAUCUUAAAGAUUAGACCAAUGGAUAUCAAAGAAAAGGAGCUCGACCAGGUGAAGUUUACUCUGUAUGCACAAGAAGUGAACUGCGGUACAAUUCUUAAACACUUCGUUUUAUCAUGUAUGCAGCAUUGAUAUGGCUAUGCAAUGUUAGCCCAAAAUAGGCAGCAGUGCAGUAUACUAAUGUGAAAUCUUAUCAUUCUGGGGUUGCACUUCCUGUGGUGUUUAGACUCCCAUUAUUUCCCCAUAUGUUACAUAUAUAUAAAUAUGUUAAACCAGACCUACCUAUAUACCAAUAGAAGUACACUCAUUGUGUGAGGAGCUCUGUAUAUUGCUCACUUGGAAAGUAUAGGAUACUUCUUUUUCCUACACUUAAUAUUUAUCUUUGUAGAUCGAGAGCAUUAUUAGGCAGUAAUCUUAAAACAUACUUUCUAGAGUUAAUUUUAUAUUUCUUGGUAAUAACUUUAUAUUAGGCCUGCAAACUAACUACUAUUGCAACUAUGCAACAUCAGGAGCACACCCUAUCAGCUUAAAUCACAAGGCAUGGAAAGUUAGUGUGUUCCCCGAAAUAUUGUUGGUUUUGUUAAAUAGAUGGCCCUCUUAGCAUGGCUAUGGUACCAUUCAUAUCCUAGAAGUUGUAGCUUCCAGCCUUUUAGUAACUACACAAAACUGCCAAAGCUUCACAGCCAUCAUGGAAUCACCACCGGUCCUCCCUUGCUCAAGUCAUGGAGGGGCAGCCGGUACCGGUGGGUGAGGAGAUCCACGACUGGACAACAUCAUGUUCUGUUUAAACCUAUGCCUCCCCAGGGAAUCACCACCGGUCCUCCUUUUCUCAAGUCAUGGAUGGGCAGCCGGUACCGGUGGGUGAGGAGAUCCAUGACUGGACAGCGCAGACGCCCAGAUGGCGAGGAAGACGAGUCAUCGUCGCUGCCAACCUCCACCUCGGCCCCCACACCCCUGACGCGAGCUUUGCCUCCUCUGCCGCUGUUGCAUCUUCUCCAGUGCCUCCUCCCCAUCGGACUCGUCUGCCUCCCUGUCAUGCAGGUGCUCCUCGCGUGGCCAUGCUUUCAACCUCUCUCUCUGUCUCUGUUGUGUGCAUCUCCCUCAAUAGCCACUGGAUGUUUUAUCUGGUCCAUUGUGAGAUUUGCCAUACAUGAUUAGUAAUAAUAGUAUGUUAAUUUGAUGGGUAUAAGCAUUAGUGAGGUGAAAUAUAUAGAUUUUGGAUUGAUUUACAGGUUCUUCUAAUGAACACACUGAGAUGGGUGUAGAUUUUCUGUUCGGUAUGCAAUCAUAUGGCAAGUGUGUUUAUUUUGUUGGGCACCCGUGUCCUUUGCUCCAUGCAAGAAAUGUGAGAGUUGAGUUUUGGGUGAUUGUCUACAUAUAGUGUUCUUGCAUCUUAGUGUGAGUUGCGUCGGAUGGUAUUGUUUUCUCAAGGGAAUAAAUUCAUAUGCUUGGUAAGAAAAGGUUCAAUCUACAUGCACCAUGAGUUAAAAGAUAACUUUGAUGAGUCAGAUAGAUGUAGUAUGAUCCACAACCAUAGUUCUGAUCCACACAAUGCAUGAUAUUCCACUUUAGCCUGAGUCUUGUGGUUAGUACUUGCUACUUCUCCCUGAAAUAGAAUUCAUACCGACACUUUGUAUGGUUGGUUACAAAGAGCCACAACUGUACCAGGAAAUCUAGAAACCCAACUGGAUAUGCCAAAAAAUACCAAUUCCUAGAACGUCACAUAGUGAUUGAAUUUGCGGCAUUAAAUACAUUCACUGUGCUGGAAGUACAUUACCCUGUGUAUAGUACAAGGAGUACUCUAAAUAUCAGUAGUGUUAUGCAAAUGAAUUUGACACCGUCUCCACAUCAGGUCUAUCUUCUUAAGUAUGUCAGUCAAAUAAACAACACAUGUGCUACUCCAGGGCAAAGAGUGGUGCGAGCUAAUUUACAUAUUUUCCUAUGUCAUGAUGCACUUUCCUUAUACACACCAACUAACUUCAACUUUCCUAUGAACCUAUCAAAUAUGAAGUGUGUCGUACCGAGUUGGAUAUAACUAUCACUGCAUUUUAAAUAAGUUAGCUCUUUCUCUCUGGUUUGUUAGUUCUAUGAAAAUAUAUUGCUAUAUCUUAAGCCUGUUAUUUUAGUCUCUCUUUCUCUUUGGUGUCAUAAUGAUAUGAACUUAUAUUUUGCUGCAAGAUUAGAGAGAUUCUUUUUAAACUCAACCUGUGUCAUAAGCUACUUGGUUCCUUCUCAUUACUUGGAGGAUGCAUGGAUUGGAGAGAUUAUGGAUGAGGACUGAAUUAUGUGUUGCCAUGAUAUCUUUUAAUUUUGGUCAUCUGUGUAGCUAUGAUAUCUUAGAAGAGUCCCAGUGUGUAUAUUUUGGUGAUCUGUAUCAUAAUAAGGAAGCAAAUUGAAUUAUACAGCGUCAAAACCCAUCGUUUGCAAUGUUAUGCAGUUCCUUUUGAUGGAAAAUUUUAGUUUGUUGUGUAUUUCUAAUGGACGCGAUUAUGAAUGAGAACUGAAUAAUGUGUA